rnacentral:tRNA from 1 species
UCUCAGGUGGUAGAAUAGUACAUCAGAUUUAAGAUCUGAUCAAGCGAGAUGUUCGUUCUGAGAA